CUGACUCAUCUCAUGCAUGAUGCCCACACUUAAUCUAGGAAUACAUAUUCUUGUUAUAUAUCUCAUUUUCCUAGCACAUCAAAUUCAAGGAGACCAACUUCUUCGAACCAAUGAAGAGACUGGGUAUCGACAUGUAUUUGGAUCAGGAUAUGACAAGGACACCCCUUAUAAAGCUGCACAUGCAACAUAUGCUGCUAGCUACUUUGGGCUUGUUGUUACUAUGGAUGUAUAUGGGUACAAUCUCAUUAAUGGCCAAGUGAGCACAACAACAAUUAUAAUUGGUAAC